UCGAGGAUGGACUCUUUCUGGU
rnacentral:piRNA from 1 species